AUGUCUUACAGGAAAUCACACAGACCAACCUGGGUUUUUACAGCGCUUUUCACAGAAUCACCUAGGUUGGGGAAGACCUUCCAGUCCAACCGCCAUUUUGUACGCUAUGGGGCUGUGAAGCAAAUAGCACACUGGGCAGCACGAGUGGCUCUGGAGGUAAACACGGUAUCUUCAGUGAACAGCAAGCCCUCCUUUCUGCCAUCAAAAUUUUGCAAUAGAGAGCAUGACUUCCUCUUCUCAUAAGGUAAGCAAAUGUUUUGCAUUUAUCAAGUUCCCAGAGUCUAAACGGAGAUAGAGAGUCAGCAGACCUCACAUGUUUAUAUUUCUGUACUGGAAAUGAGCCACAGGAAGUUGCAGUUAAAAGGCUGCUGUGUCUCGAGGUUCAAGGGACACAAUAGACUUCAAUGUCUUUAACAUAACUGAACAUUUGAAGCUCUAUUUGCCUUAAAUGUGAACUGUAAGUGCUCCAAACAUCCAUAAACAGGGCCAGAAACCAGAAGGCUACACCUAUUUGUGAAGCCCACUAGUUUGUGUUGUUUCACAACCUCGUUUUCCUAUUAAAAAAGCCCUCGUUACCCAUAGCUGCCACCCCACCAAUCUAAAACCCAUCCAGUCUAGAGAAACACUUAAUUGCUGUCUGGAAAGAAAUACUGCAACAUACCUCAGAGGUGCAUGAAAAACCUGCACUGGUAAUGAGAAAAAUCUGUUACUUUGAACAAUGUGGGCAGGUGGAAGGAUUGAAGUUUCAUUCGAUAAUUUCCCUUCAAGUUACUGAUUCAGGUCGAACCUGUUAGUCACUAAACAGAAAUGCAGUAAUCAACAGUCAACCGGGCUGCUCUUCCCUUGCAACUGUGCUCCAUAAAUCAGAACUCAGGUGUGUCCCUUUGGCAACAGAGAUAAAUAAGUGAUUGAAUAUCAGAGGAACAAAACAAGUGGUAGCAAGGACUAAAUGUUACACACACAGUUGCUGGGUAAUUAAAUUGACUGAAUUGGCCAUGGAUGGAUAAAAUUUCUCGUGUGACCUGGCAAUUGUGUUACGUUUGCCAUCGAAGGGUUUAAUGCAGAUUUAGCUCUCUGCAUCUGUACACAUGCUCAGUGCCUGGGAGGAGUUGGUGCAUUGCUGAGGGGACUAGCCAGAGGCAUGCAAUUAUAAACAGGAAGAAAUAUCAUUUGGCUUUUACUAUAAAAUUUGUGUCCCAAAGCCUUCCUCCCCUCAGAAUGCAUCAUUUGUCUCUGGCACAAA
rnacentral:lncRNA from 1 species